rnacentral:rRNA from 1 species
CAGCCGCCGCGGGAAUACGUAGGGUGCAAGCGUUGUCCGGAAUUAUUGGGCGUAAAGAGCUCGUAGGCGGUUUGUCGCGUCUGCUGUGAAAUCCCGAGGCUCAACCUCGGGCUUGCAGUGGGUACGGGCAGACUAGAGUGCGGUAGGGGAGAUUGGAAUUCCUGGUGUAGCGGUGGAAUGCGCAGAUAUCAGGAGGAACACCGAUGGCGAAGGCAGAUCUCUGGGCCGUAACUGACGCUGAGGAGCGAAAGCGUGGGGAGCGAACAGGAUUAGAUACCCCCGUAGUCCCUGUCUCUUAUAC